AUUGAACGCUGGCGGCAGGCCUAACACAUGCAAGUCGAGCGGAUGAAGGGAGCUUGCUCCUGGAUUCAGCGGCGGACGGGUGAGUAAUGCCUAGGAAUCUGCCUGGUAGUGGGGGAUAACGUCCGGAAACGGGCGCUAAUACCGCCUACGUCCUGAGGGAGAAAGUGGGGGAUCUUCGGACCUCACGCUAUCAGAUGAGCCUAGGUCGGAUUAGCUAGUUGGUGGGGUAAAGGCCUACCAAGGCGACGAUUCGUAACUGGUCUGAGAGGAUGAUCAGUCACACUAGAACUGGAACACGGACCUGAGUCCUACGGGAGGCAGCAGUGGGGAAUAGUGGACAAUGGGCGAAAGCCUGAUCCAGCCAUGCCGCGUGUGUGGAGAAGGUCUUCGGAUUGUAAAGCACUUUAAGUUGGGAGGAAGGGCAUUAAGUUAUGACCUUGCUGUUUUGACGUUACCAACAGAAUAAGCACCGGCUAACUUCGUG
rnacentral:rRNA from 1 species